rnacentral:rRNA from 1 species
GACGAACGCUGGCGGCGUGCUUAACACAUGCAAGUCGAACGAUGAAGCACCAUCUUGCUGGUGUGGAUUAGUGGCGAACGGGUGAGUAACACGUGAGUAACCUGCCCCUCACUCUGGGAUAAGCCUGGGAAACUGGGUCUAAUACUGGAUACGACCGAUCUCCGCAUGGAGUGUUGGUGGAAAGUUUUGGUGGUGGGGGAUGGACUCGCGGCCUAUCAGCUUGUUGGUGGGGUAAUGGCCUACCAAGGCGACGACGGGUAGCCGGCCUGAGAGGGCGACCGGCAAAACUGGGACUGAGAAACGGCCCAGACUCCUACGGGAGGAAGCAGUGGGGAAUAUUGCACAAUGGGCGAAAGCCUGAUGAAGCGACGCGGCGUGAGGGAUGACGGCCUUCGGGUUGUAAACCUCUUUCCCCAGGGACGAAGCUAAUGUGACGGUACCUGGAGAAGAAGCACCGGCUAACUACGUG